rnacentral:lncRNA from 10 species
ACACCUCUGAAUAUUGUUCCUUAAAAUUUAUUAGUUACAUAUAGGCUUAUGUAUAUGUGUAGUCAUUAUAUAUGUUCUUAUAGGGAAGAGAUUUUAUCAUUUUUGUUCAUCACUAAACCCACAAGUUCAAGAAAAAUACUGAUAGAGGGUAGAUCCACAAACAUUGGUGGAAAUGUAAAUGGUUGCCAAAAAUGAAAAAGGAACACAAUGCAUACAGGAGGUAUUCCAAAUUUUUAAGUGUGUCUUGGAAGUUUGUAUGAGAUUUCACAGAGGUAACACCCCAAAAAAAUUUUACUUCUAUAUUAUGACUUCUUUUGCAUCUACUUUUUCCAAAAUGUUAUUUUUUUCUAACAGAGUUCUAAACAUUGAAAAUCAUUUAACACAUUGCAUUCAGUAUUUCUGAUCAUUUUUAUCUAACCAGUUGCUAGGAUCAGUUUCUAAAAAACAGCAUGAGAGAGAAAACUUGUUCAAAGUACCCUCCUAAAAUUAUUAAGGUCUUCUAAAUUUAUGUGACUUAUUCUAUCAGGUAAAUAUUCUUAUUAUCCCAGAUAGUGUUGGCAAAGCUAAUACUGCACAUUCUGUCUGUACAGUUUCGAAAUUUAUAAAACUAAGGUUUCAUUUCUAAUACUCUCCCCUGCCAUAACAAGAUGGGCAUUUUCCGCUGCUCUUUAACUCUUAUAGUGCUAAACUUGUACUUUUUGCAGCAGUGGUGAUCAGUGAGGGUUUUGAAUAUCUCUAAAAAUAAAUGGCUUUCUUCCCUGUGCUACCAGUACAUCAUACAAUACUAGGCGUAUAUAUUUUAUUGAAGUAUUGUUUUUAUGAGCUUGUUUUUCCAAAAGGGAAUAAAAUAUCUACAAAGCGUUAGUGAUAACAUCUGAGAAGUUUCUGCUAACUCUGAAAAUGCCGUAACUAUUUACACACAAUGUUAAUUUUCUCCUAUUUUAGAG